rnacentral:rRNA from 1 species
ACGCUCGACACCUACGGGAGGCAGCAGUGGGGAAUAUUGCACAAUGGGGGAAACCCUGAUGCAGCGACGCCGCGUGAAGGAAGAAGUAUUUCGGUAUGUAAACUUCUAUCAGCAGGGAAGAAAAUGACGGUACCUGACUAAGAAGCCCCGGCUAACUACGUGUCAGCAGCCGCGGUAAUCUGAGCGGGCUGGCAAGGC